UGGGGAAUAUUGCACAAUGGGCGAAAGCCUGAUGCAGCAACGCCGCGUGAGUGAUGAAGGCCUUCGGGUUGUAAAGCUCUGUCUUCUGGGACGAUAAUGACGGUACCAGAGGAGGAAGCCACGGCUAACUACGUGCCAGCAGCCGCGGUAAUACGUAGGUGGCAAGCGUUGUCCGGAUUUACUGGGCGUAAAGGAUGCGUAGGCGGAUACUUAAGUCAGAUGUGAAAAUCCCGGGCUUAACUUGGGAACUGCAUUUGAAACUGGGUAUGUCGAGUGCGGGAGAGGAAAGUGGAAUUCGUGGUGUAGCGGUGAAAUGCGUAGAGAUUAGGAAAAACACCAGUGGCGGAGGCGACUUUCUGGACCGUAACUGACGCUG
rnacentral:rRNA from 1 species